rnacentral:rRNA from 1 species
CCUACGGGGGGCUGCAGUGGGGAAUAUUGGACAAUGGGCGAAAGCCUGAUCCAGCCAUGCCGCGUGUGUGAAGAAGGCCUUCGGGUUGUAAAGCACUUUCAGUGGGGAAGAAAGCCUUGGGGCUAAUACCCUCGAGGAAGGACAUCACCCACAGAAGAAGCACCGGCUAACUCCGUGCCAGCAGCCGCGGUAAUACGGAGGGUGCGAGCGUUAAUCGGAAUUACUGGGCGUAAAGCGCGCGUAGGCGGUCUGAUAAGCCGGUUGUGAAAGCCCCGGGCUCAACCUGGGAACGGCAUCCGGAACUGUCAGGCUAGAGUGCAGGAGAGGAAGGUAGAAUUCCCGGUGUAGCGGUGAAAUGCGUAGAGAUCGGGAGGAAUACCAGUGGCGAAGGCAGCCUUCUGGACUGACACUGACGCUGAGGUGCGAAAGCGUGGGUAGCAAACAGGAUUAGAUACCCGUGUAGUC